rnacentral:rRNA from 1 species
AGAAUCAACGCUGGCGGCGUGCCUAACACAUGCAAGUCGAACGAGAAAGUGGAGCAAUCCAUGAGUAAAGUGGCGCACGGGUGAGUAACACGUGACUAACCUACCCUUGAGUGGGGAAUAACUGAGGGAAACCUUAGCUAAUACCGCAUAACACCUACGGGUCAAAGGAGCAAUUCGCUUAAGGAGGGGGUCGCGGCAGAUUAGUUAGUUGGCGGGGUAAUGGCCCACCAAGACAGUGAUCU